AUAUUGUUAUUGAAAUUAUUCAUUAAAAAUCAACGCGAGAAUAGCUCAGUUGGUAGAGCACGAUCUUGCCAAG
rnacentral:tRNA from 1 species